rnacentral:rRNA from 1 species
UUAAACUCGUACCUUUUGCAUCAUGAUUUAGCUAGCACCCUCAAGCAAAGAGCCCUUUAGUUUGAUAACCCGAAACUAGGUGAGCUACUCCAAGACAGCCUAUCAAUUAGGGCGAACCCGUCUCUGUGGCAAAAGAGUGGGAAGAGCUUCGAGUAGAGGUGACAGACCUACCGAACCUAGUAAUAGCUGGUUGCCUGGGAACUGGAUAGAAGUUCAGCCUCAUGGCUUCUCCCUAAACCAUGAGAGUUAGUCAAAGGGGGUACAGCCCCUUUGAACCAAGAUACAACUUUUACAGGUGGGUAAAGAUCAUAAUAAUUAAGGAAAAAUGUUUGGGUGGGCCUAAAAGCAGCCAUCCCCAUAGAAAGCGUUAAAGCUCGGACAUAUAUCCUGAUAACUUUAUCUUAGCCCCCUAACCUUACCAGGCCGCCCCAUGCCAACAUGGGCGUGACCAUGCUAAUAUGAGUAAUAAGAGAGCCCUCUCUCCUCGCACACGUGUAAAUCGGAACGGACUACCCACCGAAACUUAACGGCCCCAAACAAAGAGGGUAUUGAAAAAUAACCAGAAAACCAUCCACCGUUAACCCCACACUGGUGUGCCACAAAGGAAAGACUAAAAGAAAGAGAAGGAACUCGGCAAACAAGCCUCGCCUGUUUACCAAAAACAUCGCCUCUUGCAAGAAUAAGAGGUCCCGCCUGCCCAGUGACAACUAGUUCAACGGCCGCGGUAUUUUGACCGUGCAAAGGUAGCGUAAUCACUUGUCUUUUAAAUGAAGACCUGUAUGAAUGGCAUAACGAGGGCUUAGCUGUCUCCUCUAUCCAGUCAAUGAAAUUGAUCUCCCCGUGCAGAAGCGGGGAUAAAACCAUAAGACGAGAAGACCCUAUGGAGCUUUAGACACUAGGGCAGAUCACGUUAAACAACUCCCAAUAAAGAACAAAACUGAAUGAGUCCUGCUUAAAUGUCUUCGGUUGGGGCGACCAUGGGGAAAUAAAAAACCCCCACGUGGACUGGGAGCACUCCCAAAACUGAGAGCUACCGCUCUAAUUAACAGAAAUUCUGACCAAAAAUGAUCCGGCAACGCCGAUCAACGGACCAAGUUACCCUAGGGAUAACAGCGCAAUCCCCUUUUAGAGCCCAUAUCGACAAGGGGGUUUACGACCUCGAUGUUGGAUCAGGACAUCCUAAUGGUGCAG